rnacentral:lncRNA from 1 species
GUGCUUCCAACAGGAUGAGAGUAGCAAUGUCCCGCUAGUAAAAGCGUCUGCCCAUGUUUCAGAGUGCAAUCAAAAAUAUCAUGAGCCACAAAACUAGGAAGUUUUUACGUGUCAAAAUACUGAUUAGAAUGAGUAGAAGCAAGACCUGCCUCAUUUUGGAUGUCACUAUAGCGUUGCUUUAUUCCCAGUAGCCAUUUAAGCACUAGCUCCACUCCUUUCGCAUGUAAUGCUCUGCUUUUUUUGUUCCACUGCAAAGAGGUGGUAGGAUUGUCAACACACUAUAGAGCACUGCAUACUGU